UACGGAGGGUGCAAGCGUUAUCCGGAUUCACUGGGUUUAAAGGGUGCGUAGGCGGGUUGGUAAGUCCGUGGUGAAAUCUCCAAGCUUAACUUGGAAACUGCCGUGGAUACUAUCAAUCUUGAAUAUCGUGGAGGUAAGCGGAAUAUGUCAUGUAGCGGUGAAAUGCUUAGAUAUGACAUAGAACACCAAUUGCGUAGGCA
rnacentral:rRNA from 1 species